AAAAAAGUGCUAAGAAUGGUUUUCAUGUUGAUGAUCCGGCAAUGGAACUCGUCAACAGUUAUGGAUUCCUUCGGAGCGAGCGUAUCUACACAUCACAUUACAUACACAGAAAGCUUGACAAAAUCGCUAGAGAAAUAAACUAGUGCAAAAUCCGGUGAAUAUAUACACUUUUGGUUGGUUGACUCGGUGAAAAGAACAGUAAGCUAAACAAAUUCCUCCCUUUUCGGCGGGCGGGAAGGGAUCACCGGAGCGCGGCCCUCCUCCGGCUCCGGCUAAACCGCCGGGCGGUGGCGAGCAGGCCGACCCCGACGCACACCGCCCAGGCGCCCAUCUCCAGCGCCCACCGCAUCGAAUCCGCGUCCACCUCCUCCUCCUCCUUCAACCCGUGGCCGGCGUCGGCGUCGGCGUCAUCGUCGCUGCUGUCUCCGACCAUCUCCCAGUCGUCGUCCCCGCAUGCCCCGCACUGGCACCCGCACGGCCCCUCCUCCGGUAUCCCCUCGAGCGGCGUCGCGCUGCACCCGAGACCGGCCCGCCUCGCCGCC
rnacentral:lncRNA from 1 species